rnacentral:rRNA from 1 species
GACGAACGCUGGCGGCGUGCUUAACACAUGCAAGUCGAACGGCAAGGCACUGCUUUUGUGGUGUGCUCGAGUGGCGAACGGGGGCGGAACACGAGAGUAACCUGCUCUUGACUUUGGGAUAACAUCAGGAAACGGGGGCUAAUACCGGAUAGGAGAUGAUGCAGCAUGGUGGGGGUGGGAAAGUUUCGGCGGGCGGGGAUGGACGCGCGGAUUAUCAGCUUGUUAGUGGGGUAGGGGCUUACCAAGGAAUUGACGGGUAGGCGGCGUUGGAGGGUGACCGGCCACAUUGGGACUACGAUACGGCCCAGACUCCUACGGGAGGCAGCAGUGGCGAAUAUUGCACAAUGGGCGGAAGCCUGAUGCAGCAACGCCGCGUGCGUGAUGACGGCCUUCGGGUUGUAAACCGCUUUCGCCUGUGACGAAGCGUGAGUGACGGUAAUGGGUAAAGAAGCACCGGCUAACUACGUG